rnacentral:misc_RNA from 1 species
GAUGAAGAACGUAGCGAAAUGCGAUAAGUAAUGUGAAUUGCAGAAUUCAGUGAAUCAUCGAAUCUUUGAACGCACCUUGCGCUCCUUGGCAUUCCGAGGAGCAUGCCUGUUUGAGUGUCAUUAAAUUCUCAAGACCUGUCUGCUUUUUUGAUAGGUAUUGGAUUUUGGGGGUUGCAGGCUGUUUCAAAUAAAUAGCCUUGCUCUCCUUGAAUGUAUUAGUGGAGAAAAGCCAUUGAACUCCAUUGGUGUGAUAAAACCUAUCAAUGCCAGGAGCAAUAUCACUACUUCUCUCUGCUGUCUAACUGUGACUGUCUGUAUUAAUUAGUAUGGAUGGGGACAACUUGACCAACUUGACCUCAAAUCGGGUAGGACUACCCGCUGAACUUAAGCAUAUCAAUAAGCGGAGGA